rnacentral:rRNA from 1 species
UAGGGAAUAUUGGUCAAUGGGCGCAAGCCUGAACCAGCCAUGCCGCGUGCAGGAAGACGGCCCUACGGGUUGUAAACUGCUUUUGUCAGGGAAUAAACCCCCGCUCGUGAGCGGGGCUGAAGGUACCUGAAGAAUAAGCAUCGGCUAACUCCGUGCCAGCAGCCGCGGUAAUACGGAGGAUGCAAGCGUUAUCCGGAUUCAUUGGGUUUAAAGGGUGCGCAGGCGGAUUGGUAAGUCAGGGGUGAAAUCCCACAGCUCAACUGUGGAACUGCCUUUGAUACUGUCAGUCUAGAGUAUAGUUGAAGUGGGCGGAAUGUGUCAUGUAGCGGUGAAAUGCUUAGAUAUGACACAGGACACCGAUCGCGAAGGCAGCUCGCUAAGCUAUAACUGACGCUCAUGCACGAAAGCGUGGGGAUCAAACAG